rnacentral:rRNA from 1 species
UACGUAGGGUGCGAGCGUUGUCCGGAAUUACUGGGCGUAAAGAGCUCGUAGGUGGUUUGUCGCGUUGUUCGUGAAAACUCACAGCUCAACUGUGGGCGUGCGGGCGAUACGGGCAGACUGGAGUACUGCAGGGGAGACUGGAAUUCCUGGUGUAGCGGUGGAAUGCGCAGAUAUCGGAAGGAACACCAGUGGCGAAAGCGGCUUCCUGGUCCAGCACCGACGUUCAGGCACGAAAGCGUGGGGAGCAAACAGG